rnacentral:rRNA from 1 species
UACGGAGGGUGCAAGCGUUGUCCGGAAUCACUGGGCGUAAAGGGCGCGUAGGCGGCGCGGGUAGUCAUCGGUGAAAGUUCAGGGCUCAACUCUGAAUCGGCCGGUGAUACUCCCGUGCUCGAGCACUGUAGAGGCAGGUGGAAUUCCGGGUGUAGCGGUGGAAUGCGUAGAGAUCCGGAAGAACACCGGUGGCGAAGGCGGCCUGCUGGGCAGUAGCUGACGCUGAUGCGCGACAGCGUGGGGAGCAAACAGG